AGGAUCGACGAGCAAUCAAUCAAGGAAGAAACCCUCUCUCUCUCUCUCUCUCUCUCUCUGUAGAAUCUUGCUUCCAAGUACUCUCUUUCUCUCUCUAAAAUCUUUCCAUUGCCUUUUAGCAUGUUCCAACAAAACACGAUCCCUUCACCUCAUCCCCAUGAAAUAACGACAACAACAUUACUUAAAUACCCUCUGAAAACCCCAAUCACUGAAUCUCUCCAAACCCCCCCUCCCAAUCACGCAAGAACCCCCCCGUCCCCUUUCUCUCUCAUCGUUUCCCUCACCGUCCUCCACGAUCCAGUCAGAAUUCCGCACCCCCGCCAAUCCAAUCCCCAACCGAUCGAAGCCCUAAAUUCCUAGGGUUGCGAAUGCCCUAAAUUCGAGUCCGAUCGAAUUCGCAGUCUUGGUUUAGGUUGGAGUUGUGUUUGGAAUCAAAAUGAAGAGAUUGAGUGAAGAAGCAAGUGUUCACGAGUGGAAUUUGAAUUCGGAGGGGCUGAAGAAAGCUAGGGUUUUGGGGACGAAUUGUGAGGAAUUAAUCUGUUUAGAGCAAGUGGGUGCGAGAAUUGACGGAAUUAGGGUUUUGAAUCCAGUUGACUGUACCGAAAUUCAUCGGGUUGAGAAUUGGCCAGUGAUGGAGGAAGAUAGGGCUUCGGGAAGAAGUGGAACUGUAGAAAGAAUGGAUUUUGAUCAUGAUAGGGUUUUGGGGAAUAUGGGGCUGAGUUCUGCUUGUGGUAAUUCGACUUGGAGCGAAGCGAUUGCGGUGGUUGAUCGUGAGAAAGGGAAGGUAAUUUUAGAUUUUGAUUUGAAUGUAGAAAGAAUGGAUUUUGAUCUCAAUUUGCCCGCGGCAGAGGAGGGAGGAAAUGAUAUGGAGUUUCCAGAAUAUACUACCCGGGUGGGAGCGGUGGUGGUCGCGGAGAGGGUGGAUAUCAUUCACAUUUUGUCUGAUGAGAGCGAAGAGGAUGAUACUGGCAAAAGAGGGUGUGUUUCGGUGAGUGGUGGAAGGAGGUACACCAGGGAAGAGAAAGGGAAGGCGAAACUAGUUGAUUCUCAUUCUUGGCUAUCGCUUGCCAUGAAGCCGAUGCAGUUGGAUUUAAUACCUGAAAGGCAGGAGUUGAUAAUUUCAGCAGAUUCCUGUUGUAUACAACAACAAAUAGAUAGCCAACAGGAGGAAACUACCCAGCUAUUGGAAACGGAAAGAGUGCAGAUACAAAGGGAGCCAGAACCAAUGGCAGCACAAGAAUCAAGACAAAGGACGCGUGCAAAUAGAUACCGUGAUGUUGCAUGCGAUAAUGCUCUAAGGUUUGCGCGUUUCAAUUCGAAUCAAAAUAAAUAUGUAGAUCCUUUGAGUCAAGAAAUGGAAGUGCAGACUGUAUUAGAAGAAGCUGAUAAAAAUGUAGAAAACUUCGUGGGUCCCUUUUCUGCCGCGAUGAGACUAGUGAAAGAUCGAAACUUGAAGAGUACUUCUGAACAACUGAUCAAUUGGAAGCCCUCAGAGGGUUUUGACCGUAACAUUGUUAUGCCUCUUGUUCCUUCGCUACUGGAUCUUUCCAUGAAAGUCCUUGCGAAGAAUGCUGAGGCAAUAGUGUCUCUAGAAUAUGUACCGGAUGCUUUGAAGCAUAGACUCGCCGACAUGCUCUGUGACUAUCGGAAAAUGAAUGCGCGUGCCUUGGACCUCCUUAUGCAAGGAUCUCCAACUGAGAUACGGAUAAAGGAUUGUUCAUGGCUAACUGAUGAACAUUUUACCAAAAUAUUUGGUACUUUUGACUCUAAAAGCUUGAAGGUGCUUCAACUAGACCUAUGCGGGCAAUGUGUCCAUGGUGAUAGUUUGUGUAAGACUAUAGUGCAGUCUCAAAAUAGCUUGCCUGAUUUAGCUAUUAUAUCCCUGAAGGGUGCAUGUCGUUUAACAGACGUUGCACUAAAAGCAUUGGUUGCAUCAACACCUGCCCUACAGUCAAUCAAUUUGGGCGAGUGCUCUCUUCUCACCGAUACUGGCAUAUCCCUUCUAUCUGCUUGUUUAGGAGCUACUUUGAGGGAGCUUUAUAUAGAUAAUUGCCAUCGGAUAGAUGCUAGGGUAGUUGCGCCUGCAAUCUUGGAGUUUAAACGUUUGGAAGUAUUGUCAGUAGCAGGAAUCCAGACAGUAUGUGAUGAAUUUGUCGUUGAAGUUAUCACUAAAUGUGGCCGAAAUAUGAAAGGCCUUGAUUUGGCUGAUUGUGUGAAACUAACCAACACCUCUAUGGAAGUCAUUGGGAAUAAUUGUUCUGGACUGUGUUCCCUUAACAUUUCGAACUUGCAUAACUUGACAGAUUUGGCAAUCCAGUAUCUUUCCAAUGGUUGCCUAUCCAUUCAAACUCUCAAACUUCGUCAGACCAGUUUCAGUGACGAAGCUAUUGCUGCAUUCUUGGAAACUUCUGGAAAGUCUCUAAAAGAACUUUCACUGAAUAAUGUCAGAAAGGUUGGCCCAAACACAGCCUUGUCACUGGCCAAAAGUUCAAAGGAGUUGUGGAGUUUGGAUCUGUCAUGGUGCCGUAAAAUCACGAAUGAAGCACUGGGAUUGAUUGUUGACAGCUGCUUGUCUCUUAAGCUGGUCAAGCUCUUUGGAUGUACACAGAUUAGUGAUGAAUUUCUGAAUGGCCACUCCAACUCCCAAGUAAAUAUUGUUGGACUAAACUUGACUCCAAUAUUGGAACAUCUCAACAUGCUGGAAACUGAGGUUCGCUCUUAAGGUCAGUGAUUCAAGUCAACAAGCACUGAGGUCUCAUCAAAGUCACCUCCUUUGAAGUAAAAAGCUUGAGAGGGUAAACAAGGUUCACUCAAAAGGUCAGAGGUUCAGUCAAUAAGCGAGGGGGGUCUCAUUGAAAUCACCUUCUUCGAAUUAAAAAGCUUGAAGUGAUAGACAAAGAUAACGCGACAUCAUAUGGGAUUCGCUGAGUAGAAGGGUAAAUCAGCUGGUUAAUCACAAGCGACGACUUUUUUUUAUUACUUAGAUACUUUAUGGUAAUUGUAACAUUUUGAAAACAAUAAUCGGGAAGUAUUUGUUGACAAUAGAA